rnacentral:rRNA from 1 species
GAUGAACGCUGGCGGCGUGCUUAACACAUGCAGGUCGAACGGAAAGGCUCCUGCUUGCAGGGGUACUCGAGUGGCGAACGGGUGAGUAACACGUGGGUGAUCUGCCCUGCACUUCGGGAUAAGCCUGGGAAACUGGGUCUAAUACCGGAUAGGACGAUGGUUUGGAUGCCAUUGUGGAAAGUUUUUCGGUGUGGGAUGAGCUCGCGGCCUAUCAGCUUGUUGGUGGGGUAAUGGCCUACCAAGGCGUCGACGGGUAGCCGGCCUGAGAGGGUGUACGGCCACAUUGGGACUGAGAUACGGCCCAGACUCCUACGGGAGGCAGCAGUGGGGAAUAUUGCACAAUGGGCGCAAGCCUGAUGCAGCGACGCCGCGUGGGGAAUGACGGCCUUCGGGUUGUAAACUCCUUUCGCUAGGGACGAAGCGCAAGUGACGGUACCUGGAGAAGAAGCACCGGCUAACUACGUG